rnacentral:rRNA from 1 species
UACAGAGGAGCCAAGCGUUGUCCGGAUUGACUGGGCGUAAAGCGCACGCAGGCGGACGCGCGCGUGGGGUGUGAAAUCUGGCCGCUUAACGGCCAGGGGCCAUCCCAUACGGCGCGUCUGGAGCGAUGCAGAGGUCGGUGGAAUUGCCGGUGUAGUGGUGAAAUGCGUAGAGAUCGGCAGGAACACCCAGGGGGAAACCAGCCGACUGGGCAUCUGCUGACGCUGAGGUGCGAGAGCGUGGGGAGCGAACCGG